rnacentral:rRNA from 1 species
UAAAAAUUUAAUUUAAAAUAUUAAAUUAGUAUUAGUUAAGUUCUUGAAAUUUAAAAAAUUUGGCGGUAUUUUAGUCUAUUCAGAGGAACCUGUUUUGUAAUUGAUAUUCCACGUUGUAUCUUACUUAAAUUUGUUUAGUAUAUAUAUCGUCGUUUAUAAAAUAUUUUUUAAAAAUAAUAAUUUUUUUGAUUUUAAAUUAGAAAGAAUAUCAGAUCAAGAUGUAGCUUAUAUUUAAGUUUAUAAUGGGUUACAAUUAUUUUAUUAAUGGAGAUAAAUUUGUAAUUUAUUUAUUGAAAUUGGAUUUGAUAGUAAAUUUAUAUAGAUUAAUAGUUUGAUAUUAGCUCUAAAAUAUG